rnacentral:tRNA from 1 species
GGGAUCUUAAUUUAAGUGAUAAAAUAUGUGGUUUGCAUUCACAAAAUAAUGAUUCUA